AUGCUACAGCACCUCGAUCUGAAGGACAAGGAGCUGGAUGACGUGGUCGUAGGCGAGGAGGAGUUGAGGAAAUUUGAGGCAGAGGCACGGUGGCUGGCCAUCGGGAAGCUGAACACGACGCGUCGUUUUAGUUCCACUGCUAUGUUCGAGACACUGAAAUCGAUCUGGGGUCGAGCGCAGGUGCCGAACUUCAGAGAGGCAGGCGACAACCAUUUUGUGUUCCAGAUGUUCUGUUUGGGGAACUGGAAGAAGGUCGUCCAUGGCGGUCCAUGGCUGUUCAAGGGGAUGGGUCUUUUGAUCGAGGAUUACGAUGGCAAGACAGAACCGGAAUCAGUGGUCUUUGAUGGUCUGUAUGUGUGGGCACAAAUCCAUAAUCUCCCUGAUCUGUAUCGUAAAACAGAAAUUGUGGAUCAACUUGCUCGCCGCAUUGGCAGAGUUAAGGAGGUGGUACUUGCUCCAAAGCUCUACUAUGAAGGAGAUUAUGUCAGAGUUCGCGCAAGGGUGCUGGUUAACAAGCCCCUGACCAGAGUUAUGCCACUGAAUGUCACGGGUGAGGGGCGUCGUUUCCUCCCAGUCAAAUAUGAGAAGAUCCCCUACUUUUGUCAGGUAUGCGGUUUCAUGGGGCACAACCAUGAAGAGUGCGGAGACGGGGUGUGGGAACCAAAACAGAGGCAGUUUGGAAGCUGGAUGCUCGCCCAACGCAAGGAGGUGACCCCUGAUCAACAGCAGUAUGGUCGUCCCGCUCGAGGGGGAUGGUCCCGGGGCCGAGGCAGAGCCGGGACUGGACGUGGCAGAGCCCCACCAAAUAACCAGGAGGGUCCGCGCAAAAGGUCAUCCCAGGAAGCUGGCUUUGAAGAUGGAGAUGAUAUAGAUGCUGAUGUGACCCUCUGA
rnacentral:rRNA from 1 species